CCAUUAGCUAAAGUGGUGCUUCAGGUUAAGAACAGUUUCAGGUUAAGUACAGACCUCCGGAACGAAUUAAGUACUUAACCCGUUCUGUACUUUAUUCGUUCUGGAGGUCUGUUCUUAAUCUGAAACUGUUCUUAACCUGAGGUACCACUUUAGCUAAUGG